UGACGGCCAGUUGAGACCAUGACAGU
rnacentral:piRNA from 1 species